rnacentral:piRNA from 1 species
CUUUGUGAUUAAGAGCACUGGCUGAUCUUC